UAUAUUUUUUUUUUGCAACGAUGAAACAGUUGUUUUCAGUAGCUGAAGAAUUUGGUUACUCUAAUAAAUAGAUUCAAUUUGAUACUCCAGUUGUUCAAAUAAAAGUAACAAAGAACAUCCUGUGUUUUGGCUUUCUUUUGAUUUUAAUGCAUUCUCUUUUAUUAAAAUGCCUAUUGCUACUCAAGAAAAUGAGAAUUUAUAUUGAAAAUUUUUUCAAUCACCGGACAAAUUUACAAGUUUUAAAAUUAUGAAGGGUAGAGUAUGGAGGAGGACAGCAACUUGAGGGUCAUUUGUUUUACGGCGAAGGAUUUUAGUGUGGAUCACUUUCUGUAGAGGUGCAAAAUACAAGUUACUGUUCAGAGGCCUAUGAUUUUGUCGGAGGGUCAAGUAUAUGUGAUGAAGCACUUUUCUUAUAUUUUGAUUUUGUAAUUCUGAAUAAUUAUUUGUACAGUUGUUAAGUCACCUAUAUACUUAUAUUACUUAUAUCACCUUUUUUUUAAACCAUUAAAGUUAUUACUUUACCUAUGUCAUUUUUGAAAAUGAUUCAUUAUAC